AGGAAUCAUUACAAAGCUUAUAAUCUACUGAGUGUGUUCAUCCUAUUUGUAUGAAUGUAUCGUUCUCGUACCUGAAACUAGGAAUGUGUAGCACAACUCUGAGGUCCUAUUGUAAUUAUGCAAAGUGUGGGCCAUGAAUGGUGGUUUAGAAUCUUGAUGGCUCCCAUUGUCUAGGACAAUUGACUGUACAUGGCUCUGUUUACCUGCAUACCUGCAGGCCAGUCAUGAAGAAAUCCCCUAGUUACCACCUGAGCUGGACUAACAAGGAUUGUACCAGGGGAAAGGAUUGGACCCAGAUGAGAAAGGAGUCCAGUCUGUGAAAGAAGCUUAUUGGAACAUCUCUGAGGAGAGAUCAGUGAUGUGUCCCCACCUGGCACACUGGUGACCCCACCUCCGCCAAGGGCCCAGCAUCGCAAACCUCCAUCCCUCCUCACAGGACAGAAGGAGACAGGAAAAGCAGACAUUAAAUACGGUAAUGGAUCAGCUUGAUCAGCAGCAGAGAAGCAGCCUGCAGUGGAGACAGCUGGGAAGUCUGGUUGUGCACAGAAGGUAAAUAAUCAGUCUGCAAAGGGGCCAAAGCAAGUAACCACUGACGUCCCAUUCAGGGAAGGCUUAAGUGGAUCUUCGCUGUUGUGCAGCCCCCCUGCACAGGGCUGGCUUGGAGCCAAGCUGUGUCGCAGGAAAUUGAGACCAGGCUAGGAAUUAUUUAUUUUAGAUUUAUAAAAACCCCAAGAGGUGCCCGUGCUAAGCUCAGGAUCUGACCCCUUAGAGAUUAACAGACAGGGCUGCCCCGCCCACCUGGACACAGGAAAGUCACAUGAGCCCAGGCCUGCAGCCCCCCUGCACUCCACAUGCUUGGGAAACAGAUGGGCUUUAUGGCAUGGCCAGAGGCUCCAGGAGAUCAAGGAGGGAGCACAUUCCAGCAUCACACAGGCUGUCAGUCUAGCAGCUCCCUGCCAUGGGGAGAAAGGCAGGCCUGGCUGGAGCACCUGUGCUGCUCUGGCUUGCAGCAGCAUGGCUCAUGGGGAGAGGUGAGUUCAGAUCAUCAGAACCCAAAGCAGGUGGAGUCACACUCGCCACAAACUAGGAGCGGCAUCAGUUGCAAGAGUCACAAGCCUUUGCCCACUGUGCUGAAAAGUGUGGUGCUGCCAGAGACUGAGAAAGAGCCAGGACCUUUUCAAACAAGCAAACAAUUUGGAGGCGUGGGGGGGAUGAAGCUCCAGUCCAGGGCUCGCCCUCCACCCCUUC